rnacentral:tRNA from 1 species
GGGAAGGUAACUCAGUGGUAGAGUGCUUGCCUUGCAUGCAUGAGGCCCUGGGUUCGAUUCCUUAGCACCA